rnacentral:lncRNA from 1 species
AGGCAACACAGAGAGCAGUAGGCCAGUUUGACGCUGCAGUCCUGGAGAUAGAUGCGGAGGAGGCUGAGCAGCUGGCUGCAGUGGAGGAGGCCAUGCGCCGCAUGCGCGUAAGCAACCCACCCUAUGCAUGAUGCCUAAAAGGCAGAGAUCUCCAAAAUCUUGUGGGAGCCUCCAAUAUACUGUACCUGGCCAAAAGAAAUUGAACACCUUACCCCACCAAUCACCCAGAAUGUUUACUGCCUUUGGUGAAAGGACAGAGUGCACAUACGGUCUGCAGUCCCCAAGUCUUGCAAAGAAGCACUGUUAACAAUUGCGUCUGCAAUGUGUAUGCCAGCAACGUGCUCAGAAGCAGAUGUGGUUCGAUUAUCACAUGCAGGCAGAGGAUGUGGACAAGGCGUCUGCACGACUGGAGGCAGCAGACGAUGACAGGGCGGCCGUGCUGAGCCGGCUGCAGGUCGUGCACCGGCAGAAGACUCGGCAACUCAGUGAAACCGUGGCCGCCGUGCAGCAG